GAUUAAAAGAGUUUCUGUCGUUGGGUUUUAACAGUGUGAGUAUAGCUUUUCCUGCAAAUUGCAACUAAUAUUAGAUUUUAAAAUUAAACUGAAUUUAUCCUUACAAAACAAACAUGCAAAAUAAAAAAUAUCAUUUUUUUAAAUAAUCGAUUUAAGAUUAAAUUAUUUAUAAUAUAUAACUUGAUAAAUAAUAAAUUACCGCUAAGGACAACAAGAAUGAAAUCUGCAUCCGUUUGUUGUGGAAGAAAUAUGGUGUGAGGUUUUGACUUAUAUCCAAAAGACGGUAAUUUUGAAGAUUCUCAAUAUUUUAGAACGUUGAUCAAACUUUUGAGAAGACGAAUGUGACCGUUUUCAUUCUCGAAAAGAGUUUGAACCUUUUAGACUCAAAGAUAGGGUUAUUUGUCGGAUCUAGAAGAACACAUACUGAAGCUAGAAGCAUUCCAGCACCAUCAAAAGUGGAAAUNCUGUGAUGUGUCUCUUUCUCAUGCUCUUCUAAGAGAAUCUUCUCUAUCUCUUCAUAAUCCGUCUGUAUAUUUUACAAUGACAAAGGAAUAUUUAUACAGAGUAAACCAAACUAAUACAUAAAAAUGAAGAAAGAAUGUGCUUAUACUUACAUUGAGGAGAGCUUCUAGAAUGUUCUUGCUGAAUCCAGAUAAGUAGAUUGUUGGUUCUGAUUUCCAGACAAUAAGAAAGACUGUAAAUGACAAAAAAAUUAUUAAUAUCAAUAGAAAUUUUUUGUCGUAAAUUAUGAUUAUAAACGGUCACAAUUGUUGUUAAAUGUUAUGGAAAAGACCUCUAAAAUUAUUUAUGAAGUUGCAUACUAGAAAAGGUAAGCAUUUGUUAUAUUACCUGAAUUUGACCGGGUUCUAUUUACGGGGAUCGCAAGAUCCAAUACUCUAAGUUCGUCUUCAUCAUCUCGAUUAACCAAUAAGCAAUAGUGCCCGCAGGAUUUUAUGGUAUUCUCCACGCUCAAGAUUAAAGAGUUUCUGUCGUUGGUUUUAACAGUGUGAGUAUAGCUUUUCCUGCAAAUUGCAACUAAUAUUAGAUUUUAAAAUUAAACUGAAUUUAUCCUACAAAACAAACAUGCAAAAUAAAAAAAUAUCAUUUUUUAAAUUAAUCGAUUUAAGAUUAAUUUAUAAUAUAUAACUUGAUAAAAUAAUAAAUUACCGCUAAGGACAACAAGAAUGAAAUCUGCAUCCGUUUGUUGUGGAAGAAAUAUGGUGUGAGGUUUUGACUUAUAUUCCAAAAGACGGUAAUUUUGAAGAUUCUCAAAUAUUUUAGACGUUGAUCAAACUUUUUGAGAAGACGAAUGUGACCGUUUUCAUUCUCGAAAAGAGUUUGGAACCUUUUAGACUCAAAGAUAAUGGGUUUCUUGAUCGGAUCUAGAGAAACACAUUGAAGCUAGGAAAGCAAUUCCCAGCACCAUCAAAAGUGGAAAUGAAGCUUCAUUGUUGUAGCAGCCAUGUUAAUUUGAUUUAAUGUCUCGCUUUACUCACUUUGGAUGAAUAAAAUACACCGAGAUCAAAUGAUAUUUAUAGGUAUAAAACAGAAGACUAUAUAAU
rnacentral:lncRNA from 1 species